rnacentral:misc_RNA from 1 species
CAACACAAUUAUUUGAAAGAUGGUCCAUAUGUCACACCAGAAGAAGCAGUUGCCAUUUAUACAACAACCGUGCAUUGGCUGGAGUCCAGAAAGUUUUCUCCCAUUCCAUUCCCUCCACUGUCAUACAAGCAUGACACCAAGCUACUUAUCCUUGCUCUGGAAAGGUUGAAGGAAUCAUAUAGUGUGGCUGUCAGAUUGAACCAACUGCAGAGGGAAGAGCUGGGUCUUAUUGAGCAGGCUUAUGAUAAUCCACAUGAGGCUUUGUCACGGAUUAAACGUCACCUACUUACUCAGCGUGCCUUCAAAGAAGUUGGCAUAGAGUUCAUGGAUUUAUAUAGUGCUUUGAUUCCAGUUUAUGAAAUUGAACCUCUUGAAAAAAUAACGGAUGCAUAUCUUGACCAAUAUCUGUGGUAUGAAGGUGACAAGCGCCAUCU